AACUAACGCUAGCGGCGUGCCUAACACAUGCAAGUCGUACGAGAAAGUCGGCUUCGGCCGGCGAGUAAAGUGGCGCACGGGUGAGUAACGCGUGGAUAAUCUACCCUUGAGUUGGGAAUAACGUGCCGAAAGGUGCGCUAAUACCGAAUAAUACUGAGUGACUAAUGUUGCUUAGUCAAAGAAGGCCUCUGCUUGCAAGCUUUCGCUGAAGGAUGAGUCCGCGUACCAUUAGCUAGUUGGUAGGGUAAUGGCCUACCAAGGCAACGAUGGUUAGCUGGUCUGAGAGGAUGAUCAGCCACACUGGAACUGAGACACGGUCCAGACUCCUACGGGAGGCAGCAGUGAGGAAUAUUGCGCAAUGGGGGCAACCCUGACGCAGCAACGCCGCGUGAGUGAGGAAGGUUUUCGGACCGUAAAGCUCUGUCGAGCGGGAAGAAAUGCAUGCUGGCUAAUAUCCAUCAUGCUUGACGGUACCG
rnacentral:rRNA from 1 species